rnacentral:rRNA from 1 species
AACGAACGCUGGCGGCAUGCCUAACACAUGCAAGUCGAACGAUCCCUUCGGGGAUAGUGGCGCACGGGUGCGUAACGCGUGGGAACCUGCCCUUAGGUUCGGAAUAACUCAGAGAAAUUUGAGCUAAUACCGGAUUAUGUCUUCGGACCAAAGAUUUAUCGCCUUUGGAUGGGCCCGCGUUGGAUUAGCUAGUUGGUGGGGUAAAGGCCUACCAAGGCGACGAUCCAUAGCUGGUCUGAGAGGAUGAUCAGCCACACUGGGACUGAGACACGGCCCAGACUCCUACGGGAGGCAGCAGUGGGGAAUAUUGGACAAUGGGCGAAAGCCUGAUCCAGCAAUGCCGCGUGAGUGAUGAAGGCCUUAGGGUUGUAAAGCUCUUUUACCCGGGAUGAUAAUGACAGUACCGGGAGAAUAAGCCCCGGCUAACUCCGUG